UAGGGAAUAUUGGACAAUGGGGGCAACCCUGAUCCAGCCAUGCCGCGUGAGUGAAGAAGGCCCUCGGGUUGUAAAGCUCUUUUGUCCGGAAAGAAAAGCAUUCGGUGAAUACCCGGAUGUUCUGACGGUACCGGAAGAAUAAGCACCGGCUAACUUCGUGCCAGCAGCCGCGGUAAUACGAAGGGUGCAAGCGUUACUCGGAAUUACUGGGCGUAAAGCGUGCGUAGGUGGUUGUUUAAGUCUGAUGUGAAAGCCCUGGGCUCAACCUGGGAAUGGCAUUGGAAACUGGGCGGCUAGAGUGCGGUAGAGGGUAGUGGAAUUCCCGGUGUAGCAGUGAAAUGCGUAGAGAUCGGGAGGAACAUCUGUGGCGAAGGCGACUGCCUGGACCAGCACUGACACUGAGGCACGAAAGCGUGGGGAGCAAACA
rnacentral:rRNA from 1 species